GAGAAACAUGGUGCUCGUAGUAGCCAAGAAGAGCUCCAGAUUGAUUGAGGAUAUCAUCUAUUCCCUCAGAAGGAAGAAGCAUGAUCUCUAUCGACAAAAUGACAGUAAUCAAACAAGGCAACGCAAACGGAGGAGACUGGGUGAGCUCAAGAAGAAACUCAGGGAGAUGAUCAUGCAGUACAACGCUGUUGCAACCAGUGCACAAAACAUUGACGCAGAAGCAAGCAUGCAGUCUCUCUGAUGUGUUGCUGCCUUGGGAAGCACAAGGAGAUGUGGUGAGCCUUCGUUUGAAGAGGCGUGUUUUUGACCAGGUCAUGCUAGUCAGGCGUAUCGAAGAGGAGAAGCUGAUCGUUGUGAAGAUGACUCAACAUUAUCAGUACUUGAGAAACGCAUUGGACAAACUACAAAGCCUCCUUCAUCACACUGAAGAGAACAUCAAGAACAACGUUACUCUAAUAGAGAUGACAGAGGCCGGAUAUAGAGGACUGCACUGCUGUCUUCUGCAGAAGAGAGAUGUUCUACAAAACAAACUGAGUGAACUCGCCAGCACCUAUUCCCAUGUAGACACAGACUCUGUUUUUUAAUGGUAGAUGAAGACAUGGAGGACUGUGAAGAGGACGACAGCAGCUCAGACCUUUCAGAGGAGGAAUUGCGAAUUGUUUGGCUGCAUUGAUUCAUGACACAAUAAAAGAUUACACAGCAGUGUGUCUACCAGAGUACAGCAAUGAUCUGGCCAGGAGGCAAACUUUAAAGUUAUUGUGCAUUUCAGAAUAAUGCUAACAUGAUAUUAAAGGUAACAC